rnacentral:miRNA from 1 species
CGGCUUGGUGAGGUGCAACUUG